GACAUAUAUUUUUUCAUGAUUGGACACAAAUAUUUCUGAGGACUUUUGUAAAUUGUUAGUGCAGAUAUUAUAGUGUAUGAAAAUUAAAAUAAUUAUUGUGAAGGAAUUUGUUUGAGGCUACCCAUCUAUUUAGGCUAUAAUGCCUUGACUAAAAACCUUUAUUACAAUUUAAUUGUUCCUCAGUGGGACAAGAAAUGCCUUUAUGAAUAUGUUAAAGCAAACAGUAAUGAUAUUGUAGUAUGAGUAAACCUUAACAGUCGAUGGCUAAAGAAUUUGAAUUAGCUCGAUCUUCGGCUCGUUUGGAUUUUUGCCAGAUCGGAUCUCACGAGAAAUAACCUAGUAAAUGUAAAAUACACGUUACGUUUAAGAGCACAGGACAAAAUACUGCACUGUAAAUAAACACUUACCUAGCAAAAAAUUAUAUCUUUAAUUGUGUGCAUUGAUUUUUCCAUUGGUAAUAUGUUUUAGUGGUGUUUGUCUUUAUUACCUCUUGACUUGCAAUAAGGACUACUGUAUUGUCUAUAUACGUAUCAACGUUACAUUGUAUAUCAAUUGUUAUACUGUAGACAAUUAUAAAAGACUAACUGCAGCAUAACAUGCAAUUAAAAGGCAAAAUAUAUAACGCUGUGAAUAGAAUUUGACAAUAUUUAAGCAUUGAUUUUCAGUACUGCAGUUUUAUUGGAUCGGUUUGGAGGAUUAGACUAGGAACAAAUUUGGUGCGGUCGAGAAUUAUGGCUGUUCAAAUACGCCUUGCGUAUAUUGUCAUCCUACUUACCAUUUUGAAUCUCACGCUGUGCCUACCUCUUGGUCCUGUUGGUCCUCGCGGUCCUCCUAUUGGUCUUCAAAGUAACUUGGUUUCCUCAAAGGAAGAAAUGUUUCUUACACGUGUGCGCAGGCAUCUACACAAAGAUGCAAUUCAGCAGAUGAAUGUGGUUCUGCAGACGACAGAAUAAUGAAGAACAUAUUUCAACGAAGGCUAACAAGACAUUCUAGACAACUAACAAGUUGACAUGUAAAGAUUUUAGCUGCAACCCUGAAGAAAUAUUAAACACUGACAAAUAUACAUUCAUAAAGUGUAUUGAGAGCGAUCGUGAACACUAACAAAUAUACAUUCAAUAAAUACAUUGAACGUGAUCGAUCGUGGUAUGUGUUUUAACAAAUAUAGUAGUUUGUAUCGUCAUUUCAAAAUAAUCAUGACUGUUCUCUGUACAUUCAAAAAGUUCUAUUUAACUGUUUUAAACAAAGAUUAACAACUAAACUAUUUUAAACUUUGGCAGUAGUUUACCUGUCAAUAUUAUCAUACUUUUUGUAAUUUGACAUUCCAUUUCUCAAGUUUGGAACAGGCUUUUGUCUUAAACUAACUGUAUAUACAUGCUACAACAGUUUACCCAUAUAAUUCUGUUGAAUAAAGUUAGCAAGAAGUG